AUUGAACGCUGGCGGCAGGCCUAACACAUGCAAGUCGAGCGGUAGCACAGAGAGCUUGCUCUCGGGUGACGAGCGGCGGACGGGUGAGUAAUGUCUGGGAAACUGCCUGAUGGAGGGGGAUAACUACUGGAAACGGUAGCUAAUACCGCAUAACGUCGCAAGACCAAAGUGGGGGACCUUCGGGCCUCAUGCCAUCAGAUGUGCCCAGAUGGGAUUAGCUAGUAGGUGGGGUAAUGGCUCACCUAGGCGACGAUCCCUAGCUGGUCUGAGAGGAUGACCAGCCACACUGGAACUGAGACACGGUCCAGACUCCUACGGGAGGCAGCAGUGGGGAAUAUUGCACAAUGGGCGCAAGCCUGAUGCAGCCAUGCCGCGUGUGUGAAGAAGGCCUUCGGGUUGUAAAGCACUUUCAGCGGGGAGGAAGGCGAUAAGGUUAAUAACCUCAUCGAUUGACGUUACCCGCAGAAGAAGCACCGGCUAACUCCGUGCCAGCAGCCGCGGUAAUACGGAGGGUGCAAGCGUUAAUCGGAAUUACUGGGCGUAAAGCGCACGCAGGCGGUCUGUCAAGUCGGAUGUGAAAUCCCCGGGCUCAACCUGGGAACUGCAUUCGAAACUGGCAGGCUAGAGUCUUGUAGAGGGGGGUAGAAUUCCAGGUGUAGCGGUGAAAUGCGUAGAGAUCUGGAGGAAUACCGGUGGCGAAGGCGGCCCCCUGGACAAAGACUGACGCUCAGGUGCGAAAGCGUGGGGAGCAAACAGGAUUAGAUACCCUGGUAGUCCACGCCGUAAACGAUGUCGAUUUGGAGGUUGUGCCCUUGAGGCGUGGCUUCCGGAGCUAACGCGUUAAAUCGACCGCCUGGGGAGUACGGCCGCAAGGUUAAAACUCAAAUGAAUUGACGGGGGCCCGCACAAGCGGUGGAGCAUGUGGUUUAAUUCGAUGCAACGCGAAGAACCUUACCUGGUCUUGACAUCCACAGAACUUUCCAGAGAUGGAUUGGUGCCUUCGGGAACUGUGAGACAGGUGCUGCAUGGCUGUCGUCAGCUCGUGUUGUGAAAUGUUGGGUUAAGUCCCGCAACGAGCGCAACCCUUAUCCUUUGUUGCCAGCGGUCCGGCCGGGAACUCAAAGGAGACUGCCAGUGAUAAACUGGAGGAAGGUGGGGAUGACGUCAAGUCAUCAUGGCCCUUACGACCAGGGCUACACACGUGCUACAAUGGCAUAUACAAAGAGAAGCGACCUCGCGAGAGCAAGCGGACCUCAUAAAGUAUGUCGUAGUCCGGAUUGGAGUCUGCAACUCGACUCCAUGAAGUCGGAAUCGCUAGUAAUCGUAGAUCAGAAUGCUACGGUGAAUACGUUCCCGGGCCU
rnacentral:rRNA from 1 species